AUUGAACGCUGGCGGCAGGCCUAACACAUGCAAGUCGAACGAGUGGCGGACGGGUGAGUAAUGUAUGGGAAACUGCCUGAUGGAGGGGGAUAACUACUGGAAAAGGUGGCUAAUACCGCAUACAAUCGGAUGAGCCCAGAUGGGAUUGGCUAGUAGGUGGGGUAAAGGCUCACCUAGGCGACGAUCCCUAGCUGGUCUGAGAGGAUGAACAGCCAAAUGGGAACUGGGACACGGCCCAGACUCCUACGUGAGGCAGCAGGGGGGAAUAUUGCACAAGGGGGGCAAGCCUGAUGCAGCCAUGCCGCGUGAAUGAAGAAGGCCUUCGGGUUGUAAAGUUCUUUCGGUGGCGAGGCGUUAACCGCAGAAGAAGCACCGGCUAACUCCGUGCCAGCAGCCGCGGUAAUAC
rnacentral:rRNA from 1 species